rnacentral:rRNA from 2 species
AGUACAUGCAGUCGAACGCGUUGGCCCAAUUGAUUGAUGGUGCUUGCACCUGAUUGAUUUUGGUCGCCAACGAGUGGCGGACGGGUGAGUAACACGUAGGUAACCUGCCCAGAAGCGGGGGACAACAUUUGGAAACAGAUGCUAAUACCGCAUAACAGCGUUGUUCGCAUGAACAACGCUUAAAAGAUGGCUUCUCGCUAUCACUUCUGGAUGGACCUGCGGUGCAUUAGCUUGUUGGUGGGGUAACGGCCUACCAAGGCGAUGAUGCAUAGCCGAGUUGAGAGACUGAUCGGCCACAAUGGGACUGAGACACGGCCCAUACUCCUACGGGAGGCAGCAGUAGGGAAUCUUCCACAAUGGGCGCAAGCCUGAUGGAGCAACACCGCGUGAGUGAAGAAGGGUUUCGGCUCGUAAAGCUCUGUUGUUAAAGAAGAACACGUAUGAGAGUAACUGUUCAUACGUUGACGGUAUUUAACCAGAAAGUCACGGCUAACUACGUGCCAGCAGCCGCGGUAAUACGUAGGUGGCAAGCGUUAUCCGGAUUUAUUGGGCGUAAAGAGAGUGCAGGCGGUUUUCUAAGUCUGAUGUGAAAGCCUUCGGCUUAACCGGAGAAGUGCAUCGGAAACUGGAUAACUUGAGUGCAGAAGAGGGUAGUGGAACUCCAUGUGUAGCGGUGGAAUGCGUAGAUAUAUGGAAGAACACCAGUGGCGAAGGCGGCUACCUG